GGGAGGAAAGGCGAGGCUCUGCAUCUAGAUUUACCUCGUUCUCUUUUGUCUCCGCUUUUUUUUCACAUUUCCUUGCGACCCUGGCCCUUGAGCGACAAAAAGGGGAAGCCAAGGCUGGCCCGAGGAACGGAGAGGGCACAUGGCCUAGCCACAAGUGGAGCUUCUGCUCCGCCCGAAGGGAUGCGCUGGAGCGGCCUCUUCCUUCUGCCACGGUCUUUCUUUGCCAACUAGUAGGUGGAGACUGGACCUCAGAAGAGGGAGUGGGUGCCCCGAGAACUCACAGCUAGCGGACAGUGGAAAGGGCAGGAGCCGGACCAAGGUGAGGACAGUGGAACUGAAGGCCGCUGGUUACCUCUCCUGCCCUCCGCUGGCCACAGUGGAGAAGACAGCCCCUCCCUCCUGCUCUGACCUGACAGUGUUCAUCCAUCGCCCUGUAUUAGCGAAGAACAACAUCAAGCUGGCUAGCAAGGAACUGUAUACAGGGUCCAGCUGGGUAUCACACUGGAUCUCACCCAAAGCUUAGAUGUGAUCCAGCUCAGUAUCACAAAGCAGAACGAAAAGGAUGUGUUUGGGCUGAGAGGCCAUACAUUGGCUCCGGCAUGACGGGUGACUUCUUCCGAGUCUGGCUUCUGCAGCACACAGGGCUUCGCCAGCACCCAGCUCCUGCAGCAUGGGCAGCUCCUGUGACAGCAGGCGCCCGCAGCCUGCAAAGCGUCUCCAGUGCCGCCGCCUCAGUGAACCUCAACCAGCGGCACCUAGCAGCUUUCUCUGCCACCCUCUUCAGGUAGUUCUGUAGCAGCGCGUUUCUCAUGAGACACUUCCCUGUGAGCAGCUUUUUCUACCCUUGAGGAUGGAUUUCCAGCAAAUUCUGCCCAUGUGGUACCACAGCCACUUCUCUGCCAUUCAGUGAAACUGCCGUUGUGCCCUCUUCAAGGUCUGGAUCUAAGCCCAGGGACCAGGAAACCUCUUGCUUGAGUGCUGGAACUCAGGCCAGAAGGCAGGAAGCCCGCCUGACCCCAUGUCUCAGGCUGCCAGAGGAGCGUGCGAUGAGGAAGGCUGGACUGUCUUCACAGGACACCAGGGAGAAGCCUCAAGCCACUGCCCCCUGACAAGUCGCAGCUCUCCAGCCUGUCUCCUCAC
rnacentral:lncRNA from 10 species